rnacentral:rRNA from 1 species
UACGAAGGGGGCUAGCGUUGCUCGGAAUCACUAGGCGUAAAGGGUGCGUAGGCGGGGCUUUAAGUCAGGGGUGAAAUCCUGGAGCUCAACUCCAGAACUGCCUUUGAUACUGAAGAUCUUGAGUUCGGGAGAGGUGAGUGGAACUGCGAGUGUAGAGGUGAAAUUCGUAGAUAUUCGCAAGAACACCAGUGGCGAAGGCGGCUCACUGGCCCGAUACUGACGCUGAGGCACGAAAGCGUGGGGAGCAAACAGG